ensembl:lncRNA
GUGUGUUUCUUGUCAUGGAAAGGGUUACAGAGGCUGCCUCAUGUGUAACGGUUACAGACCCUUGUGUAUUUCAUGCAGCUCACAGUUACAUGGUAAAUGUGUGAUUACAAUUGUGUCUUUUAUGCUUAUUGAAAGUAUGAGUUAAGCGACUGUACUGAAACACUGUCUGUGGUAGAUGCAUCAGUCCGUCACUAGUUCUUAUGAUCUCAGUUCCGGUUUUAGUUCCUGUUUUGGUCUACACAAUAAUCUGGCCUGUUCAUCUUUGUUUUUAUGUGGUUGUCUGUGCAUAACAUAACUCUGUUUCGCAGGAAGAACCAGGUGUUUGUGUUUAUACCCAACCGGGUGCCUGGAUUCCCUCUGAAGAAGUUCGAGAAGGUGUCUGGGGAAGCGUUCUUUGUAGAUGAAAAUCUCUCCUGGUAUACAUCGAUUCAUUCGUUCUGCUGUGAGCCGCAUCCUGAAGCAAGUGAGCAGAAACUGAACCAGCAGUCUGCUGCCAAAUGCACAGCAGAAUUAUGGUGUCAAACAAUUGCGCUGGUGCCUCUCACUCAUGUAUUUUACGCUUACAGUGGAGAAGACUACGAGAAAACAACGUUCACACCACCAAAUACCCUUCUUCUUGCAGCAUUUUGUAAAAACUGAAUUUGUUUUGUGUUUUAACCAAUUUUGAAAUACUUCAUCACUUCCAUAAAGAUGUAAACACAAUACAGUGUGUAUUUAUCACUAAUGUAUAAAUGUCUAUGAAAACAAGGCUCCUUUCUCCUCAUUCUCUCAUAUAAGCAUAUAACAGCAUGUUUUGAACUACUGUUUUAUUAUCAUUACUUUGUUCUGUUUAUUAAAUAUGCGUAUAUUAGUAUUAAGUAUUAAAAUUAAUUUGAGUACAGUUUAUUUUUGGUGAAUUUUUGCCAUAAAGGUGCAGUUGAUUUGCUGCACAUUUACAGAUUUUCUUGAUAAAUUUCUAUAUAUUUUGAUGAUUGUAUUUUGAUAACUUGAAAGGACUUAUGUGAAUGUCUUUAUAUUUCUGAGUUUAUACCUUAAUGUUUUGGCAACUGAAAAAUGUUUUCCAGGAAAAAAAUAUACAGUUCCUUUUUACACGUGAAUCCUAACUCACUGUGUAUCACAGUGGGAACCUGCUGUUUACUGACCCUGAUUUGAGAAGGAACCUUUUGAAAUAUAAAGUUAAUAAAGCUGCAAAACUCCUAAAAUUGUGACAAUGAAAAAUAUAACAUUUUGCAGAAAAAAAAAAAUUAAAAUAAAAGUCCAAUGAAUAAAUUGAGAAAAAAGUGGCAAAAUGUGGCAUGAAAAAAAAAAUUAUGAAAAAUGUAUGCUAGUUUGAUUUUAUUGUGCAACAGGAAGUCUUAAAUUCAUAAAGACAUUAAAUGUUGCAUGCACUGCAAAUAAUUCAUAUCUUCUGUGGUGUUAUUUUCUUGUUUUCCAAUAUAAAUAUCUAAACAUCCUUGAAACUAAAAUUUGAAAUGUUUUUUUUUUUUUUUCUCAUUGACAAAAUAGAGAUAUGUAGUAUUGUUUUCUGAGAAACUGAUCAAAAUUAAGUGAGUUCAUACCUAAAACAAGAAAGAAAAAAUGCUCACUCUGGAAUGAAAACUAUUUUUUCCUUUAAAUGUAGUUUUCUGAGCCUAGUAGAUUUUUUUUCUUUCUUGUUUUAACCAUAAACUUACUUCAUUUUGAUCUAUUUCUCAGAAAAUUAAAUGUAUUUAUCCAAAAAAAAAAAAAAAAAUUGAGGCUGAGGCUGAACAUCACUUUUUUUUGCAGUGUGAUCAGAAUAUAAAUGUUAUUUCCAUAUUCUAGUGGUUGGAAGCAGGGAUAUUGAGGCAUUUUUGUAAAAUGACUUAAAACUUUUGUAAAACUCUUAAGUGUUGCUAUUAGUACAUCUACUGUGUUCUCUCUAGAGAUCAAAUACUGACGCAGAGCUGUGUCUAAGAGUUUCUAAACCAUGGUUUGUUUACAGUAAAAGUGGAGUAAACAUGUUUUUUGGCGUAUUGAUUACCAGUUGUAUCACCACAGUUUUACAACAAAUACCAGGGUUAGUAUGGUUAGUGUAGCAAAACCACGGUUCAUUUUCGUAAGGGUGGCGAUCGAUGCAGCUGACGUGUUUAUUCAAUUUAUUCCAUACAUCUUGCUCCCUUGGUCUAAAAAAGUCUUAAAUUUACCUUCAUAAAACCUCAGAGAUCCUGUAAAUAUAAUGCACACGCGACAACUAGACCCUAAUGUCAGUCGACCGCUUAACUUUCGGCUUCGAAGAGGCACACCUGCCCAAGCCUCACUCACAGAGCGGGUCAUCAUAACACUGGACGGGUGUGACAGCAGUGAAGCGGGAUUUGGGGAGUGGAGGAGUGGCUCUCGGAGAGUUUGUUUAUAGUGAAGGAGGCGCGGACAACACACGCGACUCGCUGCGCAUCUUCACGCGACUCACCUCACUGACAUUACCACAGAAACUGGAAUACAACCAGCAGCGACGAGGAAAACCACGCGGAAAUAACACUCGGUAGGCUUUCAGUUGUUGUUUGUGGUUAUUCUGUCAACUUGAAAUAACCAUGGUAGCGUUACAGUACAGUGAUGUAAGAUGACAAUACCAUGGUAUUUUGAUAUAGCUUCUAAUAACGCAUUCAAAAGCCAUAAUAUGAUAGAUAUAAGCUAGUAGUUCUUCAAAAAAAUACCAUGUUUCACAUAGGCAACCUUUUUUCUACAUUUUAAUGGAAAAGUGUUUGUUAUAUGUUUACAUUAUAUGAGAAAUAGCCUUAUGUUGAUUUUUACAGGUGUAAUCGUUUGUUAACACGUUAAAUUUUUUUGUAAAAGUUUGUUUUAUAGGAAAAUACAUUGCAUUUCUUCUUUACCUGGGUGUUUCUGAGACCCCUAAUUGAAGUAGCCUAUCUAUUAAACAUGUAAAAACUAUUAACAGAAGACUUUUGAUUUUAACAUUUAACAUUUGUCAGUUUAAACGUCAUAAAGUUACUUGUUGUAUUUAAGUGUUAGGCAUGUGGGUCUCCAAUGGUCUUUUUUUUAUGAAGUACAGUAUACUACAGAAUAGUCUUACACAACCUCACUCUUGUGGACAGGACAGGACGUACAUUGCAUUUAUUUAAAUGUUUGGACGUCAGAGAUGGUCAUUGUCCUCCUGAUUCUUUCCUUUUCCUGUUUGCUGGUGUACACAUUGUUACUCUGAUUUGUUUGUUUGCAUCCUUCACAUGCUGUACAUUUAUUCCCAUGCAUAGAAAUAGUCUAAAAUCA